rnacentral:rRNA from 1 species
GGGUAGUAGUAGGAGUGCUCAGCGCCCGACCUCCAACCCUUUGUUGUUAAAACUACCUUGUUGCUUUGGCGGGACCGCUCGGUUCCGAGCCGCUGGGGAUUCGUCCCAGGCGAGUGCCCGCCAGAGUUAAACCAAACUCUUGUUAUUAAACCGGUCGUCUGAGUUAAAAUUUUGAAUAAAUCAAAACUUUCAACAACGGAUCUCUUGGUUCUCGCAUCGAUGAAGAACGCAGCGAAAUGCGAUAAGUAAUGUGAAUUGCAGAAUUCAGUGAAUCAUCGAAUCUUUGAACGCACAUUGCGCCCCUUGGUAUUCCGAGGGGCAUGCCUGUUCGAGCGUCAUUACACCACUCAAGCUAUGCUUGGUAUUGGGUGCCGUCCUUAGUUGGGCGCGCCUUAAAGACCUCGGCGAGGCCACUCCGGCUUUAGGCGUAGUAGAAUUUAUUCGAACGUCUGUCAAAGGAGAGGAACUCUGCCGAUUGAAACCUUUAUUUUUCUAGGUUGACCUCGGAUCAGGUAGGGAUACCCGCUGAACUUAAGCAUAUCAAAGGCGCGGG